rnacentral:rRNA from 1 species
AUUGAACGCUGGCGGAAUGCUUUACACAUGCAAGUCGAACGGCAGCACGGACUUCGGUCUGGUGGCGAGUGGCGAACGGGUGAGUAAUGUAUCGGAACGUGCCCAGUCGUGGGGGAUAACGUAGUGAAAAUUACGCUAAUACCGCAUACGAUCUAUGGAUGAAAGCGGGGGAUCGCAAGACCUCGCGCGAUUGGAGCGGCCGAUAUCAGAUUAGGUAGUUGGUGGGGUAAAGGCCCACCAAGCCAACGAUCUGUAGCUGGUCUGAGAGGACGACCAGCCACACUGGAACUGAGACACGGUCCAGACUCCUACGGGAGGCAGCAGUGGGGAAUUUUGGACAAUGGGCGAAAGCCUGAUCCAGCCAUUCCGCGUGCAGGAUGAAGGCCCUCGGGUUGUAAACUGCUUUUGUACAGAACGAAAAGGUUUCUACUAAUACUAGGAGCUCAUGACGGUACUGUAAGAAUAAGCACCGGCUAACUCUGUGCCAGCAGCCGCCGUAA